AGCGAACGCUGGCGGCAGGCCUAACACAUGCAAGUCGAACGAAGUCUUCGGACUUAGUGGCGGACGGGUGAGUAACACGUGGGAACGUACCUUUUGGUUCGGAACAACUCAGGGAAACUUGAGCUAAUACCGGAUGAGCCCUUAGGGGGAAAGAUUUAUCGCCGAAAGAGCGGCCCGCGGUAGAUUAGGUAGUUGGUGAGGUAAAGGCUCACCAAGGCUACGAACUAUAGCCUGUCUGGAGGGGUGAUCAGCCACAAUGGGACGGGGACACGGGCCAGACUCCUAAGGGAGGCAGCAGUGGGGAAUCUUGGGCAAAGGGGGAAAGCCUGACGCAGCCAUGCCGCGUGAAUUAUGAAGGUCUUUGGAUUGUAAAAUUCUUUUACCAGGGACGAUAAUGACGGUACCUGGAGAAAAAGCCCCGGCUAACUUCGUGCCAGCCGCCGCGGUAA
rnacentral:rRNA from 1 species